rnacentral:rRNA from 1 species
UACGUAGGGGGCAAGCGUUGUCCGGAUUUAUUGGGCGUAAAGAGCGUGUAGGCGGUCAGAUAGGUCCGUUGUAAAAACUCGAGGCUCAACCUCGAGACGCCGAUGGAAACCAUCUGACUAGAGUCCGGAAGAGGAGAGUGGAAUUCCUGGUGUAGCGGUGAAAUGCGCAGAUAUCAGGAAGAACACCCGUGGCUAAGGCGGCUCUCUAGUACGGUACUGACGCUGAGACGCGAAAGCGUGGGGAGCGAACAGG